GGACCCAAAUAAAGAGUAUGAAGAUCUGCU
rnacentral:piRNA from 1 species